GACGAACGCUGGCGGCGUGCUUAACACAUGCAAGUCGAACGGGAUCCAUGUUGUAGCAAUACUUCGGAAGAUCUAGUGGCGAACGGGUGAGGAACACAUGAGAAACCUGCCCCGAACUUCGGGAUAACAGUUGGAAACGACUGCUAAUACCGAAUACCUCUGCGAAGUGGCAUCACUUUGCACAGAAAGAAUUUCGGUUCGGGAGGGUCUCGCGGCCUAUCAGCUAGUUGGUGGGGUAACGGCCUACCAAGGCAUCGACGGGUAGCUGGUCUGAGAGGAUGUUCAGCCACACUGGGACUGAGACACGGCCCAGACUCCUACGGGAGGCAGCAGUGGGGAAUCUUGUGCAAUGGGCGAAAGCCUGACACAGCAACGCCGCGUGCGGGAAGAAGGCCUUCGGGUCGUAAACCGCUUUCAGCAGGAACGAAGAUGACGGUACCUGCAGAAGAAGGUGCGGCCAACUACGUGCCAGCCGCCGCCGUAA
rnacentral:rRNA from 1 species